rnacentral:rRNA from 1 species
CCUACGGGUGGCAGCAGUGGGGAAUCUUGCUCAAUGGGCGAAAGUCUGACGCAGCGACGCCGCGUGAGGGAUGAAGGUCUUCGGAUCGUAAACCUCUGUCAGCAGGGAAGAACGGUCACUGUGCUAAUCAGCAGUGAAUUGACGGUACCUGCAAAGGAAGCACCGGCUAACUCCGUGCCAGCAGCACCGGUAAUACGGAGGGUGCGAGCGUUAAUCGGAAUUACUGGGCGUAAAGCGCUCGUAGGCGGUAUGUCAAGUCAAGGGUGAAUUCCCCUCGCUCAACGUGGGAACUGCCUUUGAAACGGGUAAACGGGAGAGUGUGGGAGGAUAGUGGAAUUUCAGGUGGAGGAGUGAAAUGCGUAGAGAUC